rnacentral:rRNA from 1 species
UACGGGGGGAGCUAGCGUUGUUCGGAAUUACUGGGCGUAAAGCGCACGUAGGCGGCUUUGUAAGUCAGAGGUGAAAGCCUGGAGCUCAACUCCAGAACUGCCUUUGAGACUGCAUCGCUUGAAUCCAGGAGAGGUGAGUGGAAUUCCGAGUGUAGAGGUGAAAUUCGUAGAUAUUCGGAAGAACACCAGUGGCGAAGGCGGCUCACUGGACUGGUAUUGACGCUGAGGUGCGAAAGCGUGGGGAUCAAACGGG